rnacentral:rRNA from 1 species
AUUGAACGCUGGCGGCAUGCCUUACACAUGCAAGUCGAACGGCAGCACGGGUGCUUGCACCUGGUGGCGAGUGGCGAACGGGUGAGUAAUACAUCGGAACGUACCUUAUCGUGGGGGAUAACGCAGCGAAAGUUGCGCUAAUACCGCAUACGCCCUGAGGGGGAAAGCGGGGGACCGUAAGGCCUCGCGCGAUUAGAGCGGCCGAUGUCUGAUUAGCUUGUUGGUGAGGUAAAAGCUCACCAAGGCGAUGAUCAGUAGCUGGUCUGAGAGGACGAUCAGCCACACUGGGACUGAGACACGGCCCAGACUCCUACGGGAGGCAGCAGUGGGGAAUUUUGGACAAUGGGGGCAACCCUGAUCCAGCAAUGCCGCGUGAGUGAAGAAGGCCUACGGGUUGUAAAGCUCUUUUGUCAGGGAAGAAACAGCAGCUCUGACACAGUCUGCGAAUGACGGUACCUGAAGAAUAAGCACCGGCUAACUACGUGCCAGCCGCCGCAGUAA